UCCGAAUCGUUUGUGAAUCUCAUCACUGUUAGAAACCCAAGAGAAGAGAUCCUCUUCCCUUAACAUCAUCAGAGGAAAAAUCUGCUUCUUAAUCAAUUAGUUUCAGCGUUUGGACUCUGUGGUCUGUGUGUUCUGGUGUCUGCUGAGUCACUCAAGACACUGACACUUGCGCCUGCUCCAACAUCUGGUGCAUAAGGGCUUUAAGGUUUCCAGAACCAAGCUGCAAUAUUGUAUGGACACUUAAGUAUUUGAACUUUUGAAGUUUUGAACUUUCUCAAGGCUGUCAUUCUAGACACAAAACCUCCUCCACUGCAACAUCCUUUGACCUGGACUGACGCUAUGGUGGUCGCUUAUCACUCCCUCAGAAGCACCCUUUGUUCCGCCCCUGGGUCACCUGCUCACUUCAAGCCCUUCCACCUCUAUGCCUGUGAACACCGGGGCACAGCCUCUGGGGAGCGUGAGGGGGGGGGAAAUGCAUCAUUGUGCGUUUUUAUCCAAAACAUUAGACAUUGUUGCUCAAGGCUUACCUGUGUGUCUGGGGGCUGUCUCCGCAUGUGCUUUGAUGGUUUGAUGGUUGCAAAAUUGACAGACCCAUUAAAUUAAUUAACAAUCUCGAAAUUCGUGUCACAUCCUCUUUUGAUAAUGUAGGUCGCGCUCUCGCACGCCUCCUUAAUUCUCGGGAUGACACUUGGGAUGACAUUGAUAUUGGCUGUCUAAAAAUCGUACAUACUACUAGUAUCAGGUCUGAUCUCUUCCCUCCAGCCCUCUAGGGAUCUUUAUUGGUGGUUUUUGUUCUAAACCCUCAGACAAUUCUUGUUUUAUAAUUUAUAAUAUUAUCACACCUCUGUGGUUAUUCUGUGUGUUCAAUCAAUAUCAGCCUGAUAUUCUGCAUGAGACAUACGCUUUUUUUUCUUUUUCAUUUGAUUUUUGUCAUCUUGAUUGUGGACAAAUUCUCUAAAUGGGUAGAAGUUUUUCCCUGUUCUCGAGAGAACACGAAGGUAGUUACUCGUUUUGAUACCUACGGUAGUUAUAAUAAUAAUAAUGAUGAUACAUUUUAUUUAUAAGUGCCUUUCAAAGUACCUAAGAACACUGGACAGUAAAAAAGAAAAACAAACAAUAAAAUAACAACAAUAAAAUAAUAAGAAAUCAAUAAUAAUUAUUGUUAUAGUUAUGGGGUUUCAAAUGCCAUAGAUUCCGACAAAGGUACCCCUUUCACCUCAAAAGUCACACAAAACCUUUGUAAGUAUCUCUAAACUAAACUGGUGUUUUCACAUUCCUCAAUCCUCUGGUAUCGUAGAACGUACUAAUCGAACAUUGAAAGACAAAUUAAUUAAGGUCAUGCAGGACACAGGUUUGCUUCUGUAAUCCAUAAUUCAUUCUGGCUGAAAUUCGUGUGGCACCAAGAAAUUAUUCUCCCCUGGAAAAGGGACUCCGGCUCCGGGUACCUCUGAUUUGAAAAUGCAUAUGGAUGAGUAUUCUGCAGCCCUUAUAGAUAAGUUGCAUAAAAUUUGUACCAAGGUCAAUAAUACAAUAUUAUCUCCACCACACACCCCUUUCACGUGGGAGACAGGUGCUGGUGUGAUGACUUUUUAAAGUAAUGAUUUGGACAAUUGGGAAAACAAUAUACUGGGCCUGCAGACAUAGUCGCCAUUACUUUUACUGCUGUUUUAACUGAUCUUUUUCCACAGUGGAUCCAUGCCACGCGAUUGAAGAAGGGUCCAUAACAAAGUUGUGUUACAAUAACAAGUUUGCUGCUAUUAACGCCUUUUGUGUCCCUAUCUAGUCUCCCUCUGGCCAGUUUUCUCUCUCUCUCCAUUUCUGAGCUCUGCACAGAUUCGACUGAGAAUCCUCAAGAUGUUGUGAACAAAGAGGGGAAGAGAUCUUGUGCCCCGUUUGGAACCAAUCAUCCUCACUACAACCAUGACAGUCCUCAUCACGGGUUUCGUGGCUUCAUUGUUGCUCGGGGCAGGGCUACCCGCCCGAGCCUUCGUGACUGCUUCAUCUUUGCUCGGGGCAGGGUUACCCGCCCGAGCCUUCUGGACCACUUCAUUGCUCGGAGCAGGGUUACCCGCUCGAGCUGGACUUCAUUGCUCGGAGCAGGGUUACCCGCUCGAGCUGGACUUCAUUGCUCGGAGCAGGGUUACCCGCUCGAGCUGGACUUCGAGACAACAUCUUCUGGACUAACUUCGCUAACUGGACUGCACAAGCGCACACCACACGAAUGUGUUAUGUCUUUCAUCUGAUGCCGUUUUCUACUAUUAUUACACAUCUCUAUGCUCUGAAACUCUGUAUUCUUACAGGACUCUGUUCUCACUAUAGGUCGAUAUGCCUUCUAAUUUCAUUUUUUCCCUCACUGUUUUAGAACAAAUUACUCUGAAGGAAGUAGCGUGUAUCUGGGAAUUAAGAGGUUUUGAGUUUCUCUAAGCUCCGGUGAGGUGGGACGAGGGCUGAUUGGGCAUGCCCGCCCUCUGAGCACCAAUAUACGUCAAGAAGGGCAAAGAUUAACUCAGGAUUAAUUCUCGAUGUAAUCACAUAUAUGAUCAUGAGGUGAUAAUAGGAUUUGAUAAUAGUGAUACUCUUAUCAAAGGGGGGGAUUGUUAGGGUUAUAUAAGUAUUAUUCUUAUUAUUCUUAUAAGUAUUAUUAUUAAAAUGGUGACAAAAUUAAGAGUUAACUUAAGGUUCAGUUAAAAAUGACCUUCUGUCUCGGCUGGACAUUGUUUGGGAACAUUUUGUUUAUGAAAUGUGUAUUUUGAACAGAGAAGUGUCUGAAGGACCCACCAAGGUCUGUUUUAGUGUCAGAUCGACCCACACACACUUUAAUGUUGGAUGUAAUGGUAGCCUUAUUGCUGAACAAAGAGUUAAGACUCUUAUAUUAUAUUUUUAUAGUAUAUAUUAUAGUAUAUAUUACUUAUAGUACAUUUUAGAGCUUUUUAAGAUCCUUUAUUAUUUUGGACUAUUGCAUAUACUAUGGCAGUGAUUUUAAACUGUUCCUGUGUAGCCUGACCUUCGUCCAGUGGAGAAGAACACUUCUUUGUUAGACCAAACAUAGUCUUUGUUUAAAACAUUGUCGUAAAAACAUCUCACGCGCUUUGACAUACGUAAAUGAAAUUGCUGAAUUGCUGAAAUAUUAUUUUGCUUAUGAUUGAAGGUUUCUUUCACACACAUACAUAUGGAAUUAAGAUGUGAUUUGCUGACCUAGCACAUAGACACAGAUAUCAAAAUGAUGUCACUCACUCACACCCUCCCAUAGACACACACACACACACCCCUCUCUGAGGUCACAUACAAACACACACACAUUUGACAGACACAAUAGCCAUUUGGAGAGAUUAUGAUUUGUUAUAAAAGGUGUUUGUAAUCUUUCAUCUUUGACGAAGUGACUGUGCGAAUAAACUGGCAUGUGAACAAC